rfam:Camelus ferus unplaced genomic scaffold scaffold1683, whole genome shotgun sequence.
GAGGGUAUAGCCCAGUGGUAGAGUGCAUGCUUAGCACACACCAGGUCCUGGGUUCAAUUCCCAGUACCUCCA